AGCAUUUCUAAUCCGUUCUGAGAUUUCGUCAGACACCAACCCAUUUUGGCUGAUCAAACUUCUAAGAUAAGUGAAGUU
rnacentral:pre_miRNA from 1 species